rnacentral:lncRNA from 1 species
AUGAACAGCAGUGACAGGGUGACGCUGCUGUCUGUGUCCCUGUUGUGUUAAAUUAACUGUGAGGCAAGAGUGUGAACUGACUGAGUUUAUUGUCAAUAUUAUAAUGUUUAACAGAGCUGGGGAGCCAGCUUGGAUCGGACCUGGCCCAGUGAUACCAGAAACCCCCCUCACGCACGAGGGUGCUGCAGAAGAUGAAACAAAAUGAACGUUCAGACACAAAGUCUGGUCCCGACUCCGUCUGGCGGUGUCUGUGGAAGCUGGGAACACCUGCACAGCCCCAGAAGCAGCAGUGUCUCCUCGUAUCUCAAAGAGCAGUGCUGAUCGAUCGACAAGAACAGGAACACCACUGAACUACCACACUGCCUUUCACAGAAGCAGGAAACAGACGUCAGUGUGUAUCUCAGUUGAGAUCACACUAUCUCACACCUCACUUAUCACUUGUCAAGAUUAAUGGAUCCUUUGGAACAGCACAGACUUGACAAACGUGUUCCAGGCCUGCAGAUCCACAUUCUCCAGCUUGAUAUAUGAACACUUUUCAGGACAGAUUCCUCCUGCCUGCCUCUGAGCACUCAGACGUCAGAAGAAACCUCGAGCAAGAGAGAAGCUUCUAGAGCUAGGCAGCUUGUUCCCCCCUCCCACUCCUGUCUGUGUAAAGUAGAGCCUCCUGUCCUGACUGGAGGAGCUCAUCCAGCUGUGUCUGGAGAGAAGCCAGUUGUGUUACAGGACAGUAUACUGUAGCAGUGUAUACUGCGUUGUGUUACAGUACACUAUAGCAGUGUAUACUAUGCUAGUAGUCUAUCCUAGACUGUAUACAUUCCUCCACAGUGUUUGUGUCCAGUCCUGGUCCUGGAGGGGUCCGUCAGUGUGUGUGUCUGAAGCAGGGCUGUACAGUUCUGGUCCUGGAGGGGUCAGUCAGUGUGUCCAGUUCUGGUCCUGGAGGGGUCAGUCAGUGUGUCCAGUCCUGGUCCUGGAGGGGUCAGUGUGUGUGUCCAGUCCUGGUCCUGGAGGGGUCAGUGUGUGUGUCCAGUCCUGGUCCUGGAGGGGUCUGUCAGUGUGUGUCCAGUCCUGGUCCUGGAGGGGUCAGUCAGUGUGUGUGUCCAGUCCUGGUCCUGGAGGGGUCAGUCAGUGUGUCCAAUCCUGGUCCUGGAGGGGUCAGUCAGUGCUUUUCUCCCUGUCUGUGUGUCUGUCUCAUGGAGAGCAAGCUGGGCUCUGUGAAAAGACAGGCUCAUUUCUAAUACGAGACGUUGUAUCUGGCCAAUAAAGUGAUCU